UCAGGUCUGUCCAUUACAGAAAUAGCCUAUUUACACAUAUAGCCUAACUACAGAAAAUAAGCUAAUUACAAUUAUAGCCUAAUUACAUAAGUAGCCUAUUAGGCUCAGAUAUGCCUCCCUUAUUGACCCUUAACGGUCUAAAGUGGGUUUAUCAUCAUCGCCUAUAUAUGUCCCAACACCCCCCCUCAAGUUGAAGGGGGGAAACCACCAUCAAUUUGGACAAAAGAGGAGAGAGAGCAGUCCCAGAUAAAGCCUUGGUCAAUAGAUCAGCCAGCUGC
rnacentral:lncRNA from 1 species